AUGAACGCUAGCGACAGGCCUAACACAUGCAAGUCAGGGGCAGCACAAGGAGCAAUCUGAGGUGGCGACCGGCGCACGGGUGAGUAACACGUAUGCAACCUGCCUGUAAGCGGGGAAUAACCCGUUGAAAGACGGACUAAUACCGCAUAAUACUAAAUUACUGCAUGGUAAUUUAUUUAAACAUUUAUGGCUUACAGAUGGGCAUGCGCAUGAUUAGCUAGUUGGAGAGGUAACGGCUCCCCAAGGCAACGAUCAUUAGGGGUUCUGAGAGGAAGGUCCCCACACUGGUACUGAGACACGGACCAGACUCCUACGGGAGGCAGCAGUGAGGAAUAUUGGUCAAUGGACGAGAGUCUGAACCAGCCAAGCCGCGUGCAGGAAGAAUGUCCUUAAUGGAUUGUAAACUGCUUUUGCAGGGGAAUAAAGUGCAUCACGUGUGAUGUUUUGUAUGUACUCUGCGAAUAAGGAUCGGCUAACUCCGUGCCAGCCGCUGC
rnacentral:rRNA from 1 species